GGAGACGUGGCCGAGUCCGGUUGAAGGCGCUUGAUUCGAAAUCAAGUAACGGGGCAACCCGUUCGGGGGUUCGAAUCCCUCCGUCUCCG
rnacentral:tRNA from 1 species